UUGGCCAUUGUCUCCUAGGUUUCUUAUAGUCUAGAAUAAAUCAUUUUUCAUUACAUUGACUUUUGACAGGCUGGACCAGAUGUCCUACCCUUUUGGAAUUGUCUAGUUAUUUAUUUGUAGUAUGACAUUUCUUUAUUUUAUUCCUGUAUGUACAUCAAACUUGAAGUUAGAUCUAAAGUGUCAGUCAAUUUAAGUGAAACAUUUUAUAUCUUAGGUAAUGUAUACUUCAUGUUGCAUCUUAUUAGAUGUUUUUAAAGCUUUAUAUAUAUAUAUAAGUUGAAUCUUGUUGACUUUCUCAAAAUCCUGAGGAAUCUGCAGUGCAUCAACAUCUCCACAGUAGGUACCAUAAAUGGUUAACAGUUUCUGUAAGGCAACUUUGCACUAGCCUAUUUUGAGCAUAGAACACAACUUUGAAGAUUAAAUCCCAUCCAGGGACUGAUUGGUAGAAGACAACUAGUCAGGGAACAUAGGAGGGAAAUACUUAAUUGCCAUAAAGUGGGUAGAUACCAGUCCACAAAUAAUUCUAAAUUAACUACGAAUAUGCUGUUUCAUGUUUGUAGACUCAUAGAUGUUUUGUGUUAUUAGUGGCUGUUCUGGAUUAUAAACUCCCAUGAGAGGUUAUUUUAAAAUCAGAAUUUUUAAUUUUUAAUAUUUAUCACUACUGCUUAUAUCCUCACUUUAACCUACCUAAUGCUGUUUCACUCAAAUGUCUUUUCUUUCUUCCCUGUAACAGUUGUGCAGAAGAUUCUGACCUUAUUUGAGGCUUACAUAUAGGUUUGGAGAUGUGGAAAGGAGUGGAAAAAGAAAUAUGUAAGCUGAAGUGCCAAACUCACACUGAAAUAAAGGGCAUGGCCUACCAGCUGACAAGGAGUGUCUGGUUUCAAGAUGGCAAAUGACCCUAAACAUGAUAGACAAAUACGUUUUACAUAGGUACAUGCACAGAUAGGCACAUAUAAAUCCACAUUUGCAAGCAAAAAGUGGAACCUGUAAAGCAGAAUUUCUGAGGAAUCUCUAAAAGACUAAUACUAUAUGGAAUUUGAAGAGGAAACCCAGAGCAGAAGCACAUAGUGAAGUACUGCCACAAAGAUGUGUGACGCCACUAAAGGUGCUCUAGACCCACAAGAAAGGAAAACUGGGAGCAGGACAACUAUCUGGAUAUUGACUGCACAUGCCAAUAUCUCAGUCAGACUAACAGAAUCAGAGCUUUAGGCAGAGAAAUGAAUGGUUGGAGAGAGAAGGCAAUGCCCAGGUGCCCUGCUUUGAAAUGUCCCGCCCAUCCCCAAAUUAGUCUGAAAAUUUCAAAUGUUGUAUAAAUUCCCUUCCCAUCAAAAGUGUCCCAUAAACAGCAGUGGUAGAAGAGUUUUAACUGAGUAUCACAGCUUCAAUGAUGAGUAUAGAAAACUCCAAAAAUCUGAAUACCAACACAAUCAAAAAAGAGGUACAAACCACAAGUGGAAGAACCAUCUCAAGAAAUAAUGAAGCAUUCAUGGAAUACAGAUUAGCAACUCUUUAAAACAGUAUUGCCAAGAGAAACAGGUGGCAUUGCAGUUGUCAGAUCUCAUUAAGGUCUUAUAUCUGAAACAGUUCCACUGUCUUCCAUAACUUUCAUAACUUUGAACAUUUUGGCUCGGGACAAAUUCCAACAAGUGAAAUCGCAUCAUUAAAAGGUAACUGCACAUAAUACUUAUAUUUUUCUGUAUUUCUUUAGGCUUUUCCCCCUAAGCAUAGAUAACUGUUCUUCAUCCUUGGUGCCUUCAUCUUUUUUCUCUUCUCAUAGGCGAAAGGGAAUUGCCUUAUUUCGAAUGAGACUUUGGACUGUGGACUUCUGAGUUGAUGCUGAAAUGAGUUAAGACUUUGGGGGACUGCUGGGAAGGCAUGAUUGGUUUUGAAAUGUGAGGACGUGAGAUUUGGGAGGGGUUGGGGUGGAAUGAUAUGGUUUGGCUGUGUCCUCACUCAAAUCUCAUCUUGAAUUCCCACAUGUUGUGGGAGGGAUCGGUGGGAGGUAAUUGACUCACGGGGCCAAGUCUUGCUGUUCUUGUGAUAGUGAAUAAGUCUCACAAGAUCUGAUGGUUUUAAAAAGAGGAGUUCCCCUGCACAAGUUCUCUCUCUUUGCCUACUGCCAUCUACGUUAAGACAUGACUUGCUCCUCCUUGCCUUCCACCAUGAUUGCAAGGUAUCCCCAGCCAUGUAGAACUGUAAGUCCAUUAAAUCCUUUUUCCUGUAUAAAUUACCCAGUUUCAGGUAUGUCUUUAUCAGCAGCAUGAAUAUGGACUAAUACAGAAAUUAAAAUGAUGCCUGACACAUAAUUGCUUAAUAAAUAUUAGCUAUUAUUAUUUGACAUUA
rnacentral:lncRNA from 1 species